GACGAACGCUGGCGGCGUGCUUAACACAUGCAAGUCGAGCGGUAAGGCCCUUUCGGGGGUACACGAGCGGCGAACGGGUGAGUAACACGUGGGUGACCUGCCCUCAGCUCUGGGAUAAGCCCGGGAAACUGGGUCUAAUACUGGAUAUGACUCCACGGUGCAUGCCGUGGGGUGGAAAGCCUUGUGCGGCUGAGGAUGGGCCCGCGGCCUAUCAGCUUGUUGGUGGGGUGAUGGCCUACCAAGGCGACGACGGGUAGCCGGCCUGAGAGGGCGACCGGCCACACUGGGACUGAGACACGGCCCAGACUCCUACGGGAGGCAGCAGUGGGGAAUCUUGCGCAAUGGGCGAAAGCCUGACGCAGCGACGCCGCGUGAGGGAUGAAGGCCUCGGUCGUAACUACUUCU
rnacentral:rRNA from 1 species